rnacentral:lncRNA from 1 species
GAAGACGAAACCGACCUUGCUGAACUCGAGGCAAGGAACCCAUUUGGAGCGGAUGAGAUACUCGAUCUGCUUCAGGAGGGACUCCACGGUGAGAGGUGGCAGGUAGGAAAGGGUCUCGAACUUCUUGAUGCCCUCAAUUGGCCACACCUGCAAUUAGAUUAAAAUUAGCACACAAAGUGUGAUUUGAGACACAUAUCGAUGGAGUAUUUCACUUCACACAUAUCGGUAUGAUGAUAUACAUACCUGCAUGCUCGUGAUCCUGCCACCGUUGGAGACGCUGCCGAGGCCAGCGCCGGCAGAGCGGCGGCUGACGGGGAGCCCGGCGGUGGACUUGAGGCCCCGGAAAGGAGCAACAGCGGUAGCCGCCGCCGACAUCACUGUCGGACCCAUAGCAUCCACCCUUGUAUCACUAGAGUAUAUCUACUUAGCUAAUAUGCUAAGUUUGGCACGGAGAGAGGAGGUCGAGUGGACUUCAUUCCUGGUCACAAGGGUUUAUAUAUACCAUAUAACAUACGAGCAAUUUGUGAUUAAUUUGUUGUCGUUCUAGGAGAUGUGGAAAGGGUGGAUGCCGUUCGUUGGUUGCCUUAUCCGUUCUAGAGAAGGGAUGGAUGACCGACGCUCGCUCAGCCGUCUCCUUCGUCCAUCGUUGCCAAUCUUUCUAGCUAUAAUUGGAAGUUCCAAAGGAACAUACGGUUUCAUGCCUACUUCCAUCGGCCUAUCAUGUACCAAUCCAAUAAAAGGACAUCGUUCAACCAUCAAUCCAUGUGUGUGUAGUAAGUGAUUGGCUACGAACCUUCAGCUGACUUGCUUUAUUGGAUAUUUCUGUAAAGCGAGUCCACGGUGUGUGGGUUUAAAAUCUCGUGGCGGCAACUGUUGACGGGUGCAAAUAUCAGUAGCCUUAAAACAAUAAACUUUACUCCGUCCCUUCCGAAAUGCAAGAAUGUCCUAAGUCAAACUUCUUAUGCUGCAGGACCAUAGUUUUUGAGGUGUUCUUCUCACGAGUCCACGAAGAACGGGAAUUUUUUGGUGUCGGGUAAGGGCGGGGGAAUAUAUAGAUGCUAGCAUCAGCAUGACGGGCUAACGGGUCAGGUAGGAUUUUGGACGACGUAGCACCUGACAUGUGGGGGCCACAUGUAAGAAAACCUGUCAAAAUGUCAUAACCCUCUGUUUUGGUCAACUUGAUACAAUCUGAUACAAAACGUGUGGUUUUCCUGACAAAUUAGCAAAUUUUGUGUCUCUGUGAGAAGCACGCCCCAAAAACUGUGGUUCCGUGAAAUUUAUUCACUAGUUACACUUUAUCUACAAACAUCUACGAUUCUAAAAUAGUUUGGUAUAUAUUUUCCGUAAUAUAAUUAUUUGAUAUUCUAAAUUCGGGGAUUUGUUCUUAUAAACUUGGUCGAAGUUUAAAAAGUUUGACUUCGGACAAAGUUACGACUUUUUACAUUUAGGAAUGAAGGGAAUACAUUUUAGUAAAGCAAUUGAGGAAUUGACAGAAUUAAAUAUCUUAAAUUAUACUGGUCCAUCGUGUACUCAUGGCAACAAAAUAAAUUUAUAGUCGAAAAGUUGGACCAUGAAAACUUAAAACGUGAUACAUUAAAAUUGUUGAAUCACUCUACAUCUUGUAAUUUUCUCUUGCAACCUUCUGGCGCGCUACUCAUUCCACAUUUGGUACUAUAUGUAUAAAUGUAUAUAUAUACCGCAUUAGGAGCCUCUAUUACUGUUUUAGUAUAAAUAGCAGUUUCCAUCGACUAUGCACUUCAUUAACUUUUUCUUCACGAGAUAACUUGCUUAUCGAUUUUCUUUAAUUAUCCAGAUGGCUUCUACUAGUUUGUUUCCUUGCUUACUGGGAUUUCCGCAGACUUUACGGUUAGGUAUUAUUGUCGUGUGGACAACACGGUGGCCGGAUGUUGAGAUGAUGAUGUCCUUUAUCUCCGUGUUGCUUCUGAGGACUGCGGAUCCGAGGCUAGUGGCGGUAUGGGAUGCCUCUCUACCUCUUGAUCAGGUCAAUCCGGCUCAGCAAGAGGCGGAUCGAUGGUGGCCGGUGUGACUAGAAGCGGGGAGGUAUAUAUGAAACGUUUCUUGCUUCCAGCAUCUCUUCUAGCGGUAUAUAUGUCGUCAGCUGGUUGAGGGAUUGAUGGCAAUCGAUCAUGGCUACGAUGACAUGUAUACGCGCCGGUAGGAACACAUAUCAGGCAAUGUCGAUGCACCUGCAUUGGGCCCUUGCUGAAGGUGGUGGUGCGUAUGGCAGUCUAAAGAUUUAAGACACAAAUUUAGACUUAAAACUUAAAUAAUCAAUUUGUGCCAGCGGGAAACACACAAACACGUACCGGUAAAUUAUCAUAAUCAGAAUUUGUCGACGAAUUUGAUAUUCUUUUACAAAAUAUACUUAUCUUAAUAUGUAUAACCGGAGUUUAUAUUACAUGCCCCUCUCCCAACGAUAGUUGUAGUACUCUUAUAAUAGUAGUACUCAUGAAUACAGUUAAUCCGGGUUGUUGGGAGAGAUCACAUGCAUAAAUACAACAUGAAACAAACGUGUGAAAAAGGUACAUAAAAUCGGUGUGACCCGUUCUUGUAUUAUAAGAAAUCAACUUGCUUAGGCCUUGCCGGACUCCUCACAACCCGGUGGCUUGAAGGCGAUGAAGCUGAUGCACUGCACUUGCCUGGUGUUGUCGAAGCCGAUGAUGCGGACAUAGGCGUCAGGGUACUCCUUCUUCACCUCCUCCAGCUCCUUUAGCACCUGCGUGGCGUCGGUGCACCCGAACAUGGGAAGCUUCCACAUUGUCCAGUACCUGCCGUCGUAGUACCCGGGAGAGUUGCCGUGCUCACGGAAGACGAAACCGACCUUGCUGAACUCGAGGCAAGGAACCCACUUGGAGCGGAUGAGAUACUCGAUCUGCUUCAAGAGGGACUCCACGGUGAGAGGCGGCAGGUAGGAAAGGGUUUCGAACUUCUUGAUGCCCUCAAUUGGCCACACCUACAAUUAGAUUAAUAAUUAGCACCGAAAGUAUAAUUUGAGACACAUAUCAGUAUUUCACUUCAACAUAUGUACAUGAUGACAUACAUACCUGCAUGCACCUGAUCCUUCCACCGUUGGAGACGCUGCCGAGACCAGCGCUGGCUGAGCGGCGGCCGAUGGGGAGCCCGGCGGUGGACUUGAGGCCCUGGAAAGGAGCAACGGCAGUAGCCGCUGACGACAUCACUGUGGGAGCCAUCGUACACGUACGUAGAUAGCUAACAAGAGGAGGCAGGCUUGCUUGAGUGCUCUCUAGCUACAGCGGCUUAUAUAACUGUAGGCUCCCCACCCAUCCAAUAUCAGCACAAGAUCUAGGAGGGGUGGCUGCAGUUCGCCGCGCGGAUUUGCCCAGGCCACGCUGGCAUCCUACGGAUCAGGUCGGGCGCCACAUGGCCGCACGAAAUGGCGCGCGUUAUCCUCUGGACGGAUACAAUUGGCUGCAACGCACUCUGCAAAUCAUGCCAUGAAGUGACCAAUUUUCACCUAUCAGGAUAGAUCCAAUGUGCCACGGCAUGCACUCAAAAACAGAACUUGCUAAUCCCUCCAAUCCAUAAAAAAUCUCGCCCACUUAUUAGAAAAUUUGUAAUGAGUUAAUGCAAAAUGAGCAGCACUUUUUAUGAACUAGAGGAACAACAAAUUAAGAGAAACUCUUCUAAGAUCUUAUCGAGAACGAAGCUUGCCCCCGCGUCGCUCAGUCUGGGGCGACACGGGCGGCAACCACACCAGCCCCGGCAGCAGCCUCUCCCCGUCCUCUCCUCCCCCUCGCCGCCGCCGGGCAAAGCCCGCACGGGGACGGCGGCGGCGGGGCUGUUUUUCUUGGCGGGGGUGUCCUAGAGCUCUUGGCUGAGGCGUUUGAGGUGCUGCCUCAUCGUGGUCGCGGCGUCUCCGGCCCGAUCCGGCAGGCUAUGCCUCGUCUUCGGCUAGAUCCGGCCGGCUUCCUCCCGGAUCCGGUGUUUCCCCUCGUUCUUCCUCUCCCUGGUGCUCGGUCUGCUCGUGGCUGCGCGGCUUCACGGCGGCGCUCUUCGGCCGGAUCUAGCUACUCGUUGGCCAGAUCCGUCAUCUCCUCCGGCUGAUCCGGCAUGUCCCAGGUCUCUUCGUUUCCAUCAUUUUUCCUCUCAGUUUGGUGAGGCGGCUGAUUGAACUUCACCGGCGGCAGAUGGGCUGCUGCUGCGGCCAUACAUGGUCCAAGUCGGUCCUUUUCGAUGCCAUGGUGGCGUGGUUUUCAUUUUCGGUCGCGUCUUCGGCUGCUGCCCGUGUGCGAGGUAUGGACGUCGGCUCCGGUGUUUGGAGUGUUGCUCUGGAUGAAAACUGCCCGUGUGCGAGGUAUGCCGAAGACAACGAUGUUGUAGCGCCGUUUUCCUUCUUGGAGGUGUCGUCGAAGAGCUUCACUUUCCCUCACUUUGAUGUUUGGUGUCUUCGGGUGAAAACCUAAGAUUUGGCUAUGGCCAGAUCGGGCGACAACGGCGUUUUUACGUCGAUUUCCUCCUUGGGGGCGUUGUCAUGGAGACAACGACUCUUGGUGGCAUCGGGUGGUGUGGUCCGUCUAUGGUGGAGCUUGUUGUCUCGAGUUGUUGAAGGUUUGGUGGUGUCUCUUCUUGUGUCAUGUGUUAGCUUAGGCUGUCGGUUUGUGUCCGGCGAGAACGUGCGUUUCUUAUCCUUUGGUGCGGUUUCGGCAUGUGAUGCCUUUCGUCUUCACUAUCGUCACGUAGGUGUCGUGUUGUAUUCUCGGUGGUGUGUGGUCUUUCGGCUUAGCCAACGGCAAGUGGAGGUAUGAUCUCGGUUGUGUAUUGCCCUUCGACUUCAUCGGCGGCACAUCGGCGUCGCGGUGGGUCUCAGUGACGCGCAGCCCUUCGACUCUGCCGGCUACGUAGGUGUCAUGGUGCGGCCUUGACCCUGUGCUUCCCUUCAGCUACGGCGACGACAUAGUGUCUGGGUGGGCUCGUCAGAUCGACGCCUUUCGACUACAUCAACUAUGCUCUUCAUUGUGCAUUUAUUUUGCCAUUGACAUGUUUCAAGAGUCUAGGUUUUUUCCUUGUGUUUCUUUUAGCAAAUGCUGUUCUGCAGGCUGGCUUUUGCCCACCCGAUCAGAAAAGAAAAACAAAUUAAAGGCUAAAAUCAAGCGAUGUUAUAUUCCCUUAGCUAUUACAAAUAUGGAUGAUAAGAGUUAUUUAUCCUUUUUCAACGAGUAACCCUUUACUUGGAAGUUCCAUGUGCAUGGCGCUGCAAGAAAACAAACAUCAUAAUGGGGCAAGACUUUUUUUUUUAUAAACAUCCAAUUUGGGUUAAAGUCUGAAAGAAUUUGGCUAUCUGAACUUUCAGUUUCCACAUUCUUUUACCUACUCAAUUCUUCAGCCAACAGGAUCAAUGGCGACCUACUAACACCAACCAGAACACAUGGGUCACAAACACGAAAAAGGGCUAGAAGGCUACUUAUACACACUCAUGUGUACUGCGAGCAAAAGAACAUAAUGUACAAAACUUUACAAAAUCUAGGGAAUUAAGACCUUCCCGUAUGCUGUUGCUGCCGCUGCUGCUUCAUGCUGGCUCUCCUGGCAACAUCCCAUGGUUUGUGAGGCACACCUACACCUUGCUGGGAUGCGAAGAACGACUCGUAUCCCGGGGAGUCGAAAGCAAAACCAGUGUGCUUGGAGUUCUCUCGAGGGAGCAUGGAGAUCGCAUAGCUUCUUGCUUCUUCUGGGCUCAAAUGGCUCCUCUCAGGCAGAUGUAUCAUGCUGUAUUCGUGGGGGUCAUCCUUGUGCAUCUCCUGGAUUACUUGGUAGUCAUAGGGAAAGAGCCAUCUUUGGAGCCUGAGAAAGCACACAGCAUCAAAGACAACAAUUGAUUCAGCUACUUCAGUAUGUACAAUGGAAGGAAUAACAAACGGAUGGCAUUAACAAACAUAUAAUUUUGCAAAAGAGCUGGUAUCUUACGAUAGAUACAGGAAAUCACCAAAGAGAGCGAUGACUGGAGCAAGCAUUAGUGUGAGGUAGAAGAAAAAGGUACUCAUCAGAACAUAAAUCACAAAAUAUACAUUUUCCUGCACAAGGUACACAGCAUUAAGUCAAUGCAUUUGUAGCAAGUAAUCGUCAUCAGCAGUGUAAUAGCUACAUUAUUCACCCACCUGUCGGUCAAAUGAUGUCAUUAUCGCAGAAUAUAUGAAGAUAAACAGAAACCAGGCCGCUAUACUGCCAGCUACGCUGAAAUAAUGCCAUCUCGUGAUAGAAUUGCACGACAUGAGGAGACGUAGAUUAACAGUCACCACAACACAAGUAAAGGCCAUCGUGCUAACAUCCCAUUGACCAAGAAUCUUGCCAGAUGAACCGUGACCAUGCUGACUUGCAGCUGCAGUAAAGUAAUAGAACACUAUUGACUGGUAGAAGGCAAAGAAACCCCACACCGCAAUCACUUUCCACCGGAAGAAUGUGUUCCUAAUUCCUUCUUGGUAAAGUUGUGGGUAUUUUUUUGAUAGAGAUGCACUCACAUCCUGAAAGGGUUCAGUUUAGUGAAUGUAGCAAGGAGCGUCACUCCAGAACAAGAAAAGUAGAACAAAUACAAGCAACCAUACCUUAUCAAACAACCCAACCAUAAUUACAGGUAGUGCCGUGAAAAUGACAUUAUACAGAGACUGGAACCAGUCAUCAUAAAAUCGCUGACCAGAAAAGCCAGUUUGGAAAGUGAACCAGAACUGAGUUAGUGUAAAAGUCAGAUUCUUGUAGAAGAAGUAUGUGAUAACCUGAAACAGAAAGUGUCAAUGUUAAAAAAAUUAAACUACACAGAUUGGCAGCUACAAGCUAAGGGACCAAAGCAUACCUUGCACAAUCUCAAGUAUGACCACCGCCCAUGUACAAGAAGUAAAUCCGUAAGAUAUCGAAACUGAGCAAUGGCAAAAUCACUCGCCAUAACAGCUUGCAUUCCUUCUUGUCCGCUGAUGCCAAUACCAACAUGAGCAGCUUGAAUCAUACUCACAUCAUUAGCACCAUCACCAAUACUGAGAGUUAUCUUACGUGCACCUUUCCUAACUAAACUUGCAACCUACAAAUGUGUCAACAUUACAUGUUUUGGCAUCAUUCGAACCCAACAGGUUAUUAGGAAAUAAAUCCAAAAAUAAGAGACUUUGAGAUUGCUGAUGGGAUGGGUAACAACCAAAUAAGCACAUAUACAAUAAGUUAAUUAAUACUACCUUUGUUUCAAAAUAUUAUACCAAAACGUCUUAUAUUUUGAAACAGAGAUAGUACUUAUAGUACAAGAGUGUACAGGACAUUUAGUUAAGAGGCCAAAACUAGAAUAGCAAAAGCAACCAAUGCACAGUGGUUAAUAAUGAUCUUGUGAAUCAUGCACAAACUAUUUUGUUGUCAAGGUACAAAAUUGGAUCCUUUAAAAUGUAAUAAUAUCAAUAUCCCCCGUUUAUUGCCCAAGCAUCCUGAAAGGCAUGCAGCUGAGAGCUGCAGACCAUACUGCUAAUUAUUUCAUGGGAAAAGGCAAGGCAUGCAUGAUAAGAACGCUAAAAGCGAGAAUUGAUAUUUACCUGUGCCUUUUGCAGUGGAGAAACUCGACAACAUACAACUGAUUGGCAAAUUAAACUCAAACCAAGAAGAUUCACACGCAGAGCUGGGUCUAGAGCGUACAUCAAGCAUCGUCCAUCAAUAAUGAAAGCCAACUUUCGUCCUGGCGUGCUCCUCAAAGAACGGUGGGCUUCCUCAAGGUAACUUCUCAGACUCUGUUUUACCGAGUCUUUGAUAACACGUGCAAUUUCCACAGGGUCUCCCUGAAAAUGACUGGAACAUUAUUCAUGGCAAAGAUAUGUGCAUAAGUUGAUUUACAUCAAUCAGAUACAAAUGCUAAAUUGCUAAUUAUGGUUGAUCAAACUGCAAAACACACGAGAUAUCCAAAAGGCUAUAUAAACAUGAUGGAGAGGCUAAAGCACUGAAACAACAGAAUCAACAUAAAGUAUUUUGUACUAUUAUGCAACUAAGCCUUUUGUCCCAAGCAAGUUGGGGCAGGCUAGAUAUGAAACCCAAACAGAAACUAAAGCAAAGUGCAGGUAACAAAAGAGCAAGAGAGUAAAUCAAGGUUCAGGCACAUGGACUGCUGAUUUCCAUGCAGCCCUAUCAAAAGCAAAAUCUCUAGAUACAUUCCAGUCCUUCAAGUCCCUUUAACUGCCUCCUACCAAAAGCAAAUAUCAUAGUAAUCCACCAACCAAAGUAACAAGGGAACUACUUGUAACUUCUUAGUUCACAAGUACAUACCAGUUGAGCUAUCCAAUUAUUCUAAAUAAUAUGGUUUGAUACCUUUACCAAAGUCUCAACUUGUAUUCAUUUUAAAGCUUAUACAAGAUAUUAUAUGUUAUGGCUUAACAGUCUCCAUGACACAAUAUGGCUUGACUUCACAGUUUAAUUCUAUAGGAUUAUCUUACCCUGUCUUCAGCAUCUCUAAUUGCAUCUGUCUCAGAAGUGAUGAUGAAUUGUUUUGUAUCGUUAUUCACCAGGCUGCACGCUGCAGAGCAAAAACUAAAUAACUUCAGAAGCUUUUCUAUGUCAGGUGAAAGAGAGAGAAAAAGACCGCCCGCCCCCCACCAAUAAUCCAAAACUGAGCUUCUAUUAGACCCCUUAAGAACGAAACAAGCAUGCAAAUUGAUCUAUAUAUAAUUAAAACCUCACCAUAUGCUAUAUUAAUUGCUGUUUCCAUUUUAUCUCCAGUUAGCACCCAAAUUUUUAUGCCAGCUGCAGAAAGAGUUUCAAUGCAGGCUGGAACCCCUUCUUGCAGUUUGUCUUCUAUUGCAGUGCACCCUAUCAAUAUAAGGUCCUUUUCAAUCAACUCAGCCACCUACAGGGGAAGAAACAGAAGGAAAUUAUAUGGCAAUGUCCCAGCAAUAUCUUAAAUCAGAAUAUACAUUAAGUCUAUUACUUCAAAUUCCUUUUUCCUAGAAAUCACAGUGAACUUAGUACAUGAAAGAAUGAAAGGAUAAUGCUUUUCUAAUGGGGAUUUGAAAAAACAUCAUAAAAAUAAUAAUAUAAAGUACUGUAUGUUCUUGUUCUAGAUAAAUUACAAAUAUCUUUUGCUCAUGAUCCUCUUUCCUGACUAAAAAAUAUAUAUUAUUAUGUAAAAUACUAAUGUUCUAUGGCAGUACAAGAUAAUAAAUUAGCACAAAAAACUAUUAAACUGCAAAUGUCAGCUGUUAGGGAUGGAUGACAUGACUCCUGUAGUUUUGGGGGGAGAGAGAGAGGAGACACACUGAACAAAUUACUUCCUUCGUCUCCAAAGAUUGCCAUGCCACAUUCUAUUCGGUCAGUCAACCUUUUACAACUUCAAAAUUAACAAUUAUAAGUGAAUUGAAUUACUACAUGAAAAAUAACAGCACUCAAUUUGCUUGCAUAAUAAUUUGUACGCAAAACUUUUGCUUGUAUAUUAGCAUAGAAAUCAUAGCCAGAGUUUUAUGUUGGGAGAAUAUAAAAUUAAAAAAUGGCCUACAUUUGUCAGGUACAUUCAGUUAAUUGUUUCCAAAACCAAAUUAAUUUUCAUACAUAAAUACCAAACGGAUCAAUAGCAUGCUCAACAGUGCACAUGAGACUCGAGUUCAGUACUGGAUGACAGAAAGUAAAAAAAAUCAGGCAAGCACUAGAAGGUGGAGGGGAAGUAAUCGAAAUUCAAAUCACAGGGACUGUUCAGCCUGUAUACUCAACAGAAGAGGAUGGUACACAUACCUCAUCAAGCUUCUUAUCACGAUCUCGUAAAGAAGAUUUAGCUUGAACAAACUUCUCAUUCCAGCUUUCGUACUGCUCCCUGCUUAGAUCUCGAUAAGCAAGGCAAAGCGUGCGCAAGCCAGCAGAGCCAAAUUGUUCUAGAUGUUCUCUGCUUGUCUUUUUAAUGUCAUGAUUUCCAUCAGCUAACCGUUCAAAAAUGACAUUAUCAGCGCCCUGUUACACAACAUUUGUAUAAGGUUAGUGCAUCAAUCUACAAAGUGAUAGCUACAUAAAGAUUCUUUUUUCUUGUAUUACCUUGCAAUACAGAACAAGUUUUCCAUUUGGGAAACGGCAAACCACAGAUUGGCGCUUUCUUGUACUGUGAGUGCAGUAAAGUGUGAAGUGCAGAACAAUGAUUUCAUCUUGUCAAAUUUAAAUUGAAAACAGAUAAACCAGACCUGUUGAAUUCCAAAACAUUCAGAAUUUCAUAUGCAACAUCUUGUAUACUCCCCAUCCUCUCAACAUGUGAUUCCCGAACCAAGACUGUGGUUGGCGUACGUCUACAAGACAGGCACAAAAUGUCAACCACCGGCAUUGCCAUUCACAAUAAAAAUGCCACAUGAAAUAAUUUGCAACAAAAAUCAUAAGAACUUAGAUGAGUUCAUGUUCACAGCACUUGCUUUAACACUUGUCUUAAUUUACAACGGCAAUUUUUUGUUGAUGGGCUAAUAGUUUAUUUAUGCUUCUUAGUAUGUACAUUCAGUCCUUCAUACAACAAACUAUAUAAGCAAUAACCUGGGUGAGUGACUCUUUUAUGCACAUUUUCCUUGGGACCAUAGCAUAGUUUUUUAAGAUACCUUGUUUGCAACAAACUGAUAAGAGGAAUCUAUAACUGUAUUUAAAGGCAAGGUAAGACAUGCCUAUAAAAGAAGAAACCAAAAUUCUUCGCAGCAGCGACAAGCGCGGCCUCGUCGGGAGAGGCAGCUUGAUAAGUAAUCUUUUCCGGUGUCUCCUCACCCUCAGGAAGAACUGUAUGACAGAUUGCAAGGCAUCUGCAGAAUUGCUAUAGAGCAAAUAACAAAGUUGUUACACAACUAGCACAUUAACAAGGGAAAAUGUGAAAAAGGAAAAUAGGUUCCAAAUUUUAUUAGUAAGGGCAUAUAUCGUGAUAUGUGAAUAAUUUGUGUCAACUAAAUCAAAACUGAUUAUGACCAAAGGGGAACCAAUCGAACUAUUCCACAGGUAGUCCCGUAUUUACCACGCAAGCAUCAGGAUUAGGUUCAUUUCUCCAUGCACCACGCAUUAUUCUAGCAUCAUCAAAGUUGAAUCCUUUCUCAUGAACUGCAGUGGCUGAUCUUUUACCCUAAAAAAGGCAAGUAAACUGGAUAUUAAAUCAGUUGUGCAUUAAAUUUUUCAUCAUAUACCACCACACUUCAAUAGCGUAAACAACAAAGAAAAUGUUGUAGACCUCAUCAUCAUCAAUCUUGACUCCGGCUCGCUCGGCUCCUCCUUUUUCAAUCUCUGUGAUGCCAGUUCCAUAUAUUUCCCCUCCAAUCGAACAUUUAAAGAAUUCCAUCAAGUUUCUUGUAAGUGUUCCAGUUUUGUCAGAAAAUAUAUACUCAACCUGAACCAUUAGUGGGGCAAAAAAAAUUUGGCAGAAAUGUCAAAUUAUUUGCAAGUGUUAAGUGCAUUUUAGUACCACUCGGCAUUUGUUCAGUCAUAUAAGCAUUUCUGGGGAUCUAGAACAGUUUUUCGGUGGGAGUAAGUCACUUAAUAUUAGUGAAAUGAGACUGUUCCCCAAGUGCUUAUAAUUGAUCCCACUUUCUGGAAUGAGUCGGUGCAGUGAGGUCAUUCUAUCCAUUAACCAAACCCAGCCAUAUAGGUCAAAUAAGUAAAUAACCCCAUUUCAGCAACAAACAAAGGGGCUUUCAUCAAACUAAACAGAAUGCUAAGGAACAAAAAAAAAACUGAUAUUACCUGCCCAAGCUCCUCAUUCAGAUUAGAAGUCCGAGCCAAAGCUGGGGUGUUGCUCUCGGCAUGAUACAUAUUCAGAUCAUUGUUAAUAAACUUUGCACACUGAAUGAAUUUGAUCAUCUGCCAGCCAAAAUAAACAUAAGGUCCAAUCCAAAUACAGGGUACACUAAAUGAUAAAUUGGUCAAUAUACCUCAAUGGAUACAUAAAGAGAAAUGGGGAUGAUCGUUGAGUAUAGAGUUAUUAGAGUAAACAUAGUUAAAAUGGUCACCUGCAAAAGUACAAACCUAUGAUAUAAGGCCACUUAGAGAAUAUUCUCUACAAUAAAUUAACUAAAAUAAUAUAUACCACAAAUCUGUUCUUGGGAUUAAACUGGUCCUCGACACGCCCACGCAAUCCAAGAUAGAAGUAUUUCUCAUUAAUAAACACGCCACUGUUCACAAAAGCCAAGUAUGAUGAGUCCAUUGGUAGAGUUUUAGGUUUCUAAAGAACGUGCAAGCUAAGCAGUCAUAGUUACCAAAAUCUAUAUGCUGAACAGAGCACUUCCAUUUCUGACCAUCUAGAAAGUGCCCUAUUAUGUACCUCCCACAUAAAACCACUAAGAAAAAAGAUAAGGCUAUUAAGACCUAGUCAUGUGCUCAUCUAUACUGCUCCUAUGCCACAAUAAAAAAAUAACUUCCCCAAACAAGCUCCUGACAACUCAUGUCAUAAUGUUUAAAGUUUAUCUCUCUAUUAACAGUUGUUUUUUCAUGAUCAAUUAAAUUGUGAAAAAUGAUUGUGCAAGCAUAAGCCUCCACAACAUCAACCUAACCGAUAUAACUCAUGUUCAGAGAAUAUACAUGUAAACAAUAAUACAAGAUAGAUAAGUCAAAUAAAUGAAGUGGGCCAAAUAAAACACUGACCUUCCAAUAGCACCAAUGACACACAUCGUAAAGAGGGUUGCAAAUAGAGCAAGAAUAAGCUUGUCUAGUUUCUUCUCCAAUGUACUUCUUUUAGAGGGAACAUUCAUAGAAUUCAUCAUAACCUGCAAUAGUGUCCCACUGCAGUAAAUCUCAAAACUAGAAGCACAUCUAACCUACAAGUUGAAUAUAUAGGGACACAAAAUUGCACAUACUUUCGUCUCAUGGCCCGUGAAUAUAACAGCCGCGACAAUGUACUCUGUAUUACGAAGGCUGCAUCCCUGUGGCAAAGUGGUAAUAAGAGGUUGCAUGUGUGCCACAUAAAGAGAGAGAAUUAAGUGUCAUGCAAGACACCGUUCAGUCUGGUGAAAGUAAACAUUUCUUUUGCACUUUACAAACAUUGCUUCAACCCUUCACCACUUAUCCUACAUAUGGGACUAGAGAAGAAAUGGAAGUUGUUUAUAUGAAUGUUAAACAUUUCCAAAUUGUUUAUAUCAUAGCUAUCCUUGUUUGCAAACCAAUAAGAACAAUAUUAUUAUAGAGGUGUUUUAUGAUGAAAAUUUCUGCUGGUGACAUUUGGGUGUCGUCAAUAUUGGUAUUUGGAGGAGAUGUUGGUGAUCAAAGUUAAAGGCCGAGUAAAGGCAUCACGCUAUGAUGUUAUUUUUUACCUGAGGGAUUUUCUUAACAAACUCAUGCUAAAUCUAGAACAUGCAAACAACUUUGCAGGUGGACAAUCUUGUAAAGAAAUUUCAAGGGCAUGUUUGUGUGAGGGGUAUUACUUUGGUACGUGUUGGUAACUACAUACCUAAUUGUUACAAGAAAAAUCUCAUCCAAACAAGCCCUAAGGACAUUAUGGACCUUGCUACUGCAAAGUUGGUAAGUCGAAAAUACGACAGGAUGUCUGAUUGAUAUGUAGGACCUGGACCCACAUGUCAUUCUCACAGCGAGUCGCACUAUUUCAAAUGUCAACUUUGUGGUGGCAUGGUUUCAAUUUUCCCAAUAAGAAACUAGAUACAAAUAGCAUAGAUGAACAGCACUUACCCUUAGUAGUAUUUGAUUUGGUGAAAUUGGUAUAGUUUGCUUGUCCACAAUAAGGUUCCCGGUAAAUGUAUAAAGUGAAUUGUUUGGCUGUUCGCAUUGUAUUUCACCUGUAAGCCAUGAAACAUACAGAUAAUGUGAAGUUAAGAAAAUGUAGAAUAGUUAAGUGAAGUUCAGAAAAGGAGCAAUGCUUCCUACACCAACUACCGAAAAAUGUCUGCAACAUGGAACAAGAAUAGAUAAAAACCUUUGAAUUCAGAAGCCUUUUCAGGAAUUACGCAGUCCCAGGUUUUCUCCAAAGCCUUCCUUAUUUUCAGGUUAGUUUCCCCAUCAAGAUUUGCUGUCUAAGGUAAAUAGAAGUAUGAUACACUUCAAUUAAAACAGAGUUUCUCUAAAUCAUUCAAUAAUUUCAAUUUGGACAAAAGAUGGAGAAGGUAAGAAUGAAUAUAUUGACCUCUAUGUAGCAGACACCAUCAGGGUUCGUACUUGAUAGGAAGAGCAAGUCAGAAGGAAAGUAAGUGUCUUGCUUGAUCUGCUCUAAAGAAGUGCCAUCACUAUUAGUCUUUUUGGAUAUGUGUAUCGAGCUGAAGAUUAAAUUUGCACAGCACAAAAGAUCAAGUGCAUUAAUUUGUGGAAGCAACAGAUCAAUUGAAUUGAUCAUCAAAUUGCUAUCAGGAAAGAUGAAGACAUUACCCUCACAAUAUCUCCAACCUGCAGUCUUUUCCAAGGGGCACUUUCCCAUUUUUGACCUUGCAAUACAUCGACGUGCGCAUUAUUAAUUGACAUGUCAUUCUGGAAACGUUUCUGUAUAAUGGGAGGCAAACAAAAAGGGAAGAAUAUCAGAUAACAUUAAGAAUAGCAAUAAAAUAGUGGAGCAACAGAGCAUGAGAGCAAUACUAACCCAGUCCUCAAAAGCUUCCUUGAUGAGUGAAACCAAAAGCACUAAACUAAGUGGAACCACAUUGGUGACAGGGUGGACUGGACUGCGAAGAUACAAGCAUGUAUGAACUAAGAUUUCUAGAAGUAAAGGUGAAGGAAAGCAAAGGAUGACUGAAUCAACUGAUGGACUUGAUAUGCUAAGAAGUGUCUAGCUGUAACAUGAGAAUUCCAUAGGGUGCAUGCAUGAGAGAGAGAGAGAGACCUAAUUGGUGUAGUCGACAAGAUUGAAAUCAUAAGAAAGUAAAGAUUUGCCACCCGUCUGAACUGUCAAAGCAAAAAAAAAAACAAAUGAAUUACAAAAGGUUCCUAUGGUCAAAUUGCGAUAAUACAGAAAGGGAACAUCUAAAUCGGUGUUACAGCUACCAUUGCAAAGUUUCUUUAUUCGAUAUGGAAAAAUGCAUUACAUGUUUAAUGUAUGAAGCCAUUGAAAUACUUUAAUGUACCUUACGUAAAAAACAGUGGAUAAUGAAAUUGCCAGAAUUAUGGUAUCGCAUAAAAUGAAGGUUACAUUGAGCGAAAAGCAUGAUCAGGGCUUUACCAAAUAACAAAAUCAUACUUCUCCUUUUCUCAAUAUAUGGCAUUUUAGGUUUCAUUGAAGACAAGUCUUUGAAAAGGAUUUACUUUGUGUUGUUUUUAAGGCAUGAAAUUUAUAUCACUAGAUUCAUCCUCAAAAGUACUUAAUGUGGAUUCAUAUCAUAUAAAUCACAUAUUAAUGAAGUAAUUCUUGGUCAAAGUCUUGUAUUAACGAAACCUAAUAUGUCCUGUAUUGACAAAAUGAGGGAGUAUAUUAUCUAACAGUGCAUGUAUACAGGCACGAUACUGGUAGCGCGUAUUACAAGCAAGGUAUCUUAAAAACAUUGCAACACAGUGCCAGACCAGGUAAGCAACUAAGCAUCUCAUGUAUCCACUAUUUUAAGGGAAGUUGAUCCAGAGUGAGGAAAUAAACAUUUUUAAGGAGAUAUAUCAAUUUGCAAUGUGAAAAUGAUACGGAGUAGUAUAAUCAUUUCACUGUGAUAACAAAUACUCCCUCCGUUCUAAAUACUUGUCGCUGUUUUAGUGCAAACUAAAACAGCGACAAGUAUUUAGGAACAGAGGGAGUAACUUCCAUUUACCGUUAGACAUGAUACAAAAUAAUAUGUUGAAAAAAAAUCUAGCCAAAAACUAAAAAACAAACAGAAAAUCUGCAUUAAACGAUGACAAACCCAGCAGGUAUGUUGAUUAACAAAAUAUGUAUGAACAAAAAACAACGCAUCAAUACCUGUUCAAACAAUCCUUUAGGUAGAAAUGUCAGCACACUGUACUUUGUAGUCGACACAGAAUUUCCCUGGAAAUGUAGAAUGAGAAUGUUAAAGAACUAAUUCUAGCAGAAAAACAAAGUAGCGCUCUGCAUUAGAAUCGCGAUGGUCUGAUACCCAACAUGAGGGAGAUUCUGAAACUAAACAGAAGAGCUAAUUGCAACUAGAAGCAUGAAAAAAGUAUAGCUUGAUCUUUUUACAACAUCAAGUCUGAAUACAUUCAAGCAUUUACACUAACUUGGAACAAAAUGUGGGUGUCAAAGAAAAUGCAUGAAUACACCUACUUACAAUAAAGCACCAAUUUUGCAGUGAUUGGACAAACUAUGGUUAAAAUACUUAAUAAUAGAGUUCUACGUAUUUGGAGGCAUAAAACGCAUUGCAGUUGGAGCAGUGGCAUUAUCAUGUUAGUCAGUCUAACAUGGCAGUGAAUGACGUGAAUUUUUUGCUAGUUUAGACCUCUGGCCAGCGCAAUUGACAAAAAUGCCCCCCUCUCAAAACUAAUGCCAAAAAUGGUCUGGCAGAAGGCCCGAAAGGCGCCACAUUUCAUUUUUCGCCAUCUGAGCUGCGCAUGCAAACAUUCCGACAACCUGAAAGGCGGAAAGGCCGUUCCGCCUACUGCAUUUGAUGAAUGCACCUGACAAGGGCGGAAGGUGAACUGGGCCCUGCAGAUGGAAGCAAUUUCCACAUUUGUUACAGACCUGGAAUCUUUUUUUUUGUUGGAGUCGACGGACCAUGUAUGUGCGGAUGCAUAGGAAUCGGCAAGCAGCCUAGCUGCUAGUUCACGGGCACGUUUUACAUUUUCUUUCCUCAGGUUUGGCUAGUGCUACCACGUUGAUACUAAUCAACGCUUCUUGUGAAUGGGCUUAGUUGCUUCUACUAGUCGUGCGAGCGUUAAUCUUUUCUCUGUGCGCCUGCAUGUGCGGGCGUGGGAAUCGGGUCAGGUCCCUGCAGACAGCACGCCUGGCUGCACUGGGCCUGCUUCAGCUUCCGCCCCUGAAAAUUCACUUUCGUCCAUUUCAACUGGAAACAAGUAGGCUCCACCUGUCCUGUUGGCGGAAAGUUCAUUCCUCCUACCCAGUGGCCACUGGGUCAGUUGCUGGGCUUUCCACCACGUCAUUUUUCAAAUUAUAUUUCAGAUGGAGCUAUUUUUGCCAAUUCCGUUUGACAAGGGGCUACAAGAGCAAAGAAAUUGAAUGACAUAGCAAGCAAUCAAUUUCCCCUUAUAGGUAAAUAAUAAACAGCUUUGCUUCAGCUUACUGUCAUCAGCUGGUGGCUGACUGCCCUGACCAAACACAAGUUCAGUAAUCUACACAGCAAGCGGCACACAGGUGCAGCUAAGCACAUGGAUGAACAGAAUAUUCCAGCCAUUGAGGCUCAGCUCUCGAAGCUUAAUGCCAGGUGGCAUCUACAUUGUAUUGCAGCCCGUAGCACCCUGAUUGACUAGUAACCCAACAAUGAGACAAGCUCUAAUCCACCCAAUGACCUCACAGUUGGCAAGAAAUGCAGCCCUUAGUGACACGCACCACCCUACAUAACUUUCUCGUGGACUAAUCAGUAUGAAUCAUAUAAACCCUCUGCAAGCUGCAGUGAAAUAAAACUACUACUACUGAACUAGCUAUUGUCCCAGAUGGCCAUCUCCAACCCAACCGCCCAAGCAUGAAACAAGGGGCCAGUUACGAGAUCUAGGCCUACAGACCCCUAGACCUUGAGACAACCGACCUGUUGAUCAUCCGAAUUAGAGGAGGAGGUGCACACCCGUACCUUGUACCCGACCGGCGCGUUGGCUUCGCGGUCGUUGCAGUAGAUGGUGCGCACGGUGGGUGCCUGCGGCUGCGGCUGCCGUCGGAGGCUGCCGCCCCCGCCGCCGAGACGCGCCGUCCUGGACGCCUCAGCGCGGCCGGCCUGAGAGGUCCCCCCCCGCGGCGACUGCUCGCCGCCCAGCCGCGCGGUGGCAACCCGCAUCAUCUCCUUUAUGCGCGAGCUCAUCCUGCCCCCCUCAGCGCCAAACCCAGCGCUGGAGGAGCCGGCGGGAGAUCUGGGGAAACCUCACGGUGGAUCGGAGGGGAGACCUAGUCGGAUUUGCGCGGCUUUCUGGUGGAUUUCAGUGCCUCGCUGAGGAGGGGAUUCGAUUUGGGUCACGCGUUCCCGUAUGUGCGUAUUUUUUCCGUGUAAUUUUUUUGUUUUGCCUUUUUCUUUUCCUUUGGCUCCGGGAGAAGAGAAGACAGGAGGGGAAGGAAAAGCGAAGGUCGCGACUUCGCGAGGAAGAAAAUGAAGGGAUUACUGCAGAUCACACCCUUGAUUAUUUUCGAAUAUGGAAAGCUCCAGUAACUGAAGUUUGAAAUUCCAGCCGCGUUUGUCUUUUCCUUCUUCGAGCAAACAACCGUGUUCUUGACUUGUUCUAUGUUUUUGCUGUCCGGAGGACUACCCGAUUUGCAAGUAAAUAAUGGCAUUAAUUUCAUAUAAGCACUUUAGGACACCACACUUGACAUGGUUUUCUACUGACGACGACUAUAUGGUGGCUUUGAUGUUCCAUGAAUAGAUCUUUUUAGCGGUGUUUCAAGUUCAGGUGUUAUAACAAAGCAUUACUCUUGACCUAUCUUCCCUUGCGACCAUGCUUUUUGAAUCGCCAAGUCGAGUCGAAUCGCCCCCCAACAGACUUGGAGGUUAGUAUGAUUAGUCAGAAACUAGUCUCGACUAAUCAACCCAAGUCGAGCCUAGUGAUCAGUGAGGUUUAGGGAGCUCUAGCAGGGAGCAUUAGAGGAAAGGAGUGAAUUGCAGUAGAGGGGAAGCACGAGGGAACAGUUUUUGUGGUGCUGGAGCUUGAAGAAGAGGUUCAUGGCGGCUAGGAUCUAGGAGUCGAUAAACUUAGAACGCCCGUGUUGAGGCAAACGCGUUGAGGAAGACGACUUCAAAGGUGGUUGGCUCAUUAUCAGGAUAGGUGCGUGCCUGGCAGCCCAUAAAGGCCUAUUAGAAAACCCUAACUCCCCCCUCCCCCCCCCCCCCACACACACAUUGCCUUCUUCUACACCACACACGCACCAAUGGCGGCCAUCUUCUUCCCCUUCCCUGCUGCUCCCCAUGCCUUCUCUCCCUCCCCGAAAAGAAAUAUCUUCCGAAAAUUCUUCUCUUCGAGUCAAGUUGAGGGGCUCGCGGCGUUCCUAGUCACGGCGGCUAGUCGGAGAAGUCGCGGUUCUAGCUGACGAGUCGCGCGACUUGCUCUGCUAGUCGAGUCGCGGCUGCAAGCCGCCAUCAUUGUGCUGGCUCGGCGACUAGUUGGCGAUUCAAAAACCAUGCUUGCGUCUUAUAAUUUUGUUUCCUCUUAGAUUUUUUUCAAUUAUGUAUGGAACUCUUUUAAGCUUGGCUAACAUAUUGGGUCAAUUUGUCUCCCAUUGAAAAAAAAACAAUUUCCUAUAAAAAAUAAAGUAUCCACAAAACAAUAUGCAUAGCGCAGUUGUUUUCAAAGUUGUGGAUGAAACUUUGUGUUGUACAGGCAACCACUUAAUAACUUGUUCGGUUGUAGAAUUCCCCGCAUGUAUUGAAGAGGAUUAAGAGAGAUCUAAGGAAAAUUGAUCUGCAAUUCGAUCAUUCCCUCUUAAUCCCCAUCGGAGUGGAAUCAACCGAACGGGGCUAAUGUGGACCAUAUCACCUUGAGGACUCCAUUCUUCUUUUAUGGCAACGUUGCAUGGACCUUGAUAUGAACGCACGUGCCUGCAAUCUCUAUUAUUUUUUCGUAAAUAGCAACUGUCCUUUCUGUAUCUUGUAAUAUGUUUUCUACAAUUUUAUUUGGGAUAUUUCGUCAAGAACCCAAAUCGAUUACAUUUUCCACUUUGGCGAAUGAGUCAAGAUUCUCCAUGUGUUCCAGCGAGGCAACUGCGAGCUACACAUGUAUGGUGAAACAAGCCUCGCAACUUCGUAAGUAACUCCAAAACUACAUCAGCACGUCUCUUGAACUUUGGAAACACACAGACGUGUUCCACGACCGUGAGGCGACGGAGUUAACGGGGCAGCGUUGCCGGAAAGACAAGAGUACCGUAACAAGGCCCAGACUGGGCUGCAUCGGCGUUCUGCCUCUAUUACAAGCGAGAGAUGUUGAACCGGCCAAGGUUAGGCAAGGCAGUCAGCGGGAGGAUUUUUUUUUUUUUGUUGUUGGUUUUGAAGAGGCGCGGGAGGAGAAGAACUUGCUUGACCAGCCCACAAGAUCGUGAACCGGUAUGACAUUGACAUUUUAUUUAGGGCCAGUAACGUGUAAUUAGAAGUACUAGCUUACAUCUCUUCCUUUUUGAACCGUCAGAUCUGCAACCAUAUCAUCUCUCCCCUUUGUCCUCUUCGCUAUGCCGAUUUUAGUGAAACGCCGCUGCCAAAUCUUCACAGGAUUGUGAACCGGCAGCAGCUUCGACCCUUCAAUAUUAUUAUUACAGCUAAAUAAAAGACUGAAAUUAUAGGUGAGGUCCUUUGUUCUAAUCGCCCAAGCGAGCAGAAGCCAAGAGAUUACGUGCAAGCAUAGCAUGGCCAUGUUCGCCAACUCAUGACAUAGUGGCACAGGGACUAACCACCUGGAUUACAUGGCUAGCUUCCAUAUAUGUGCAACAAAAUAUUGGUACCAGGCAGCCAUCUGUGCCACCAACCAUAAACUCCCUGAUCCCAAAAAAUACAAAAUACCAAGAGUUUCCACCCACAUCAGUACAAGUGCACAACAGUUUAAGAGACAAGCCAAGGAUCAUUCCCAGUUUGUGGGAAUAAAUAAGAGUCCGCAGCAAACAGAAAACUCAAAAUCGCUGGCAAAGUUAGGAUGUGGAAAAAAGAAAGGCUUAAAAUGAUCUAGCCAUGGCGUCAGAAUCUAUUAUCAAUGUUUCUCUCUCAAGGAUUUCCCUUCUAUAUAAAGUAUAAUAUUACAAAGGGGCUGCUUAAAUAUCAUGGACUCCUGGAAUGUAAAGAGGGUAAUAAUCAACACUACAUGAGCCUCCUUUUUCCUGAGGCUGCUUCCUAAGACUGACUGACUGCUUCCCCGAGGAUCCACAUACACCCUCCCCUCUCCUCAAGUUCCACCUCCCACCAUGGAAGUUAAACCCCCACCAUGGAUCCGAUGCUAACCAACUGUACGCGACCUGGAGAAAGUCAGUCAGCUUGGUGGUUCAAUCAAGACAGAGCAUCACGAUAUUGCCCAAAUGGUAUAAUUGGCAGGAUCAAUAAGUAGUUUAUGCUCGCAGCAAGAUCCAAAAGAACCAAUCUACCAUGACUAAUGUAUGACAAGAAUGAUGUCUUAUGUCUACUUUCAGAUACACUAUGGUCCAGGUGAAACAAUAUUUUAAAGUUUAGUAAUUACUGGCAGUAGUAGACAGACCACAGAAGUGUAAAGAUAUUUGCACACAUGACCUUUUAAUCCAAGGCUAACCCAACCUUGUAAGCUACGUGCUGUUUGUGCUAACGCUGCUGCUUGAAUGCAAUUAGACAGUGGUGAUGUCCUUGUUAGUCUGUUACAUACCUAAGGCAUCACCUCCUGAUUCUAGGUUUGCACCGGAACUCUGCUAAGAGCGCUAUGUGAUCUGAUGACCAUUCAGGUGAAGGAAGAGCAGUGUCUUUUCUUAAGCUCUCCUCAUCCAGAAGUUCCAACAAAGACUCCACGGUCAACGAAUCCGCUGAAACAAUAAAGGAAACAUGAUCAACUGACCAUAAUCAAACAUAUCACAAUACUACAAGCUGAUUCUGAAGCAAUUCCCAGAAGUCUAAAUACAGCAUACAGGUCAGGUACCUACCUGUGUAAAAUAUAUAAUCAACAGUUCCAGUGAAAUCCCUUGUGCAAUUUGUGAAAAGUGGUUCAUUUGUUCCUGGAUCCAUCCUCCUUCGCUGGUGCUCUAAAUCAUAGCCAACACCUACCAUUCUUGCAAAUGAAGAAUAUGCACUGACCUGCAAACAAGUAAACAUUGGUCAGAAUUUUAAAGGAAGAACAAGAUAGACAAGCUUGAUAGUUUUACUGUACCAGAGGAAGCUGGUGCGUCAACUUGCUCACGGGGCGUAAAAUUGAAAGUGGGUCUAUGGCCAGAUCUGGAUGCAAUUGAUCAACUUUGCCCACCGCAAGAAGCCCAUGUGGAGUACUGAAAGACAAAAGGAAGCACUUAGAGAUUUAAAGUUAGAAAAAACAAGUAAACCUGAAAAAUAUUGCUCCAAUAGAAUCUUGACAUGCACCUCCCCGGGAUUGAAUUGAAAUCCCCACAGACCAACAUUGGAAUGUCUGCACUGUUGGCUAUUUUCUCCAAUCCUUUUAGUAGUGUUUGAACCUGCAAAAAACAUACUUACUUUCGAUCUGAAUUUUUCAGAUGUUGCAGAAUGCUAGCCUACAGAGAAUGUGACAAUACUGACCUCCCAUAGUUUCACAUCUUUGAGGUCUUGGUGGACAUUUACAUGUGUAUUGGCCUGAAAUUUGAGAUCAUUUAAAAGAAUGAGACCUCCAUGACUCCAAGUAGCAUAAGCCUAGGCCGUAUGAACAAUGGGAAAUCUGUAGUAAAGUUGGCCUCAAAAUCUAGAGUCUAGAGAGCCAAGUCCCAAUCAUCCGCCAUUAACAUAUAGAUGUUUCCGUGCAUCUUAUGCUACUAAGGUCAUCCUACACAGAUAUAUGUUUCACUUCAUUCCUAAAUGUUGUGAGCAAAGAAGGAAAAGAAUCCAUAUGUUGUUCUGCACUAUGCUGCUAGCAGUUCAAUAGCUAAACAUACGGGAAAGUCCACUUUUGGCCCCUUAACUAUUGCCUCAGAUCAAAAUCAUCUAAUUUGCACCCUCAACUAUCAAAAGCAUCCAAGUUACAUCUGAAGGCAAUAUUUGUUAGAGGCUUUGUGUGAUGUGGCAUCCAUGUCAACGUGUUUUGCCACAUCAAUCGCUGCUGGGCAGUAGGGCCCACAUAUCAUGGCUGCCGUGCCCCUUCUUUCUUUAUAAUUCUUCCUCCUUAGCCAUGCCAUGGCCUCCUCUGUAGGCUAUAGCUUCCACUGCUGCUGCUACAGAUAACCCAUGUUUGACGUUGCAUAACAUCUUCUGAUUUAGAGAGGGGUAUCCUGACAGACAUGUACCAGUCUCCGCAAACCGCUGCACGGCUGCAUCCUGAGGGGAAUGGACAAAGAGAGGAUUAGAGAGGAAGGCUGAGGAGGGAGGCGUUUAGGGCGACUCCAACACGGCCACCCAAAUCGGACACAAAAAGUGUGUCCGUUUGGGUCUGCUGGUGCCCCUAACACGGUCACCCAUUUGGUCCGUUUUAUUAUUUAGUAUUGGCCACGGAUAGGCGGGCCAGGGCAAGGACAAGGGAGGACAAGCGCAGUGUCCACCCGCUGUCCGCCCAGACACAAACCCGGUCAGAUUUGGGUCGGCAAUGGGUUGAGCUGGACAGAAAAGCAGACAGCCGCCACACCGGACGAAAUGGGUCGCCGCGUUGGAGUCACCCUUAAUGCUAAGCUGGGAAAGAGGAAGGGAACAGAAAUAAGAGGAUGAGGACAAGGGAGGGAGAAAAGGGUGCUUCCAAAAAAUCAAUCCCAGGCAUGUGGGGCCUACUGCCCAGUGGAGAAUGAGAUGUCAAAGUUGCUGAUUUGGCGGCUACAUACAGAAUAUCACUCAUGAAACCAGCUUCUGGUCCUAUCGAACGGUUUCAUGAGUUGAUGGUUCAAUUUAGACCAGGCAAAAGUUGAGGGAUCAUAAUUAGGCUUUUCCAAACAUAAAUGAAUGUCAUGCUGUAAAAGUAGUGUUCGUCAUCCAGUAAACUGGUUCGAAUAUCCAACAAGCGCACAACUACUUUAUACACAUCUAAAGAAAGAACAGCUAUUUACAUACCACACAAAGGAGCUGCCUUUUACCAGGAGUUUCAGUUCCUUGGUUGCCAAAUUUUGCUUCUAAAACCGCAAUCAGCGCAAUAUUAUCCUUCAAAGCAAAUAGAACGUGUGAUAAAUAACAUCACUUUUUUUUGCGAAAAGUGAUAAAUAACAUCACUGUAGCAUACAUUAUUUCUUUUGAAGUUAAUCUUACUUUAAUCAGUCGACUUAAAGCCACUCUUUUCUGGGAAGCUGGAAUAAUAGCUUCUGUUAAAGACUGUGCAGCCUUAUUGAACUCAACCUACACAAGCAAGUACAAGUAUUAGAUAGCUGCAAAUAUCAAGCUGCUGCAAACCUGCAGUACAGGUACCUCGUAUUUUUUGACAUGUGAAAAUCUAUCUCUACGGAAGAAAGUAGCACAGCCAUCAAUGGCAUUAGGAACUCCAGCAUACACCUGUGACAACAGUAAAGUAAAAUCAAACAAGAGACAAAAGGUAUUAAACCAAAAUAUGAAGGAAAAAAUCAACCCAAAGAUACCUCUGUUGUCCGUUUCUUGUAAAGCGCCUGAUACCCAUGUUUAUCAAACUCAGGAGCAAAAAAAUCCUCAAAGUGGUUCAAUUGUACCUGAAAACAGUAGGACUUGGCUUAAUUCCCUCCUGUUACAAUCUUCGGUCACUCUUCGUUUUUAUUGUAAGCCGCUUCAGUAAACUCUUCAUAAUAUAUAUGCAGACAAUAUUCGUGAAAGUUUAAACAGCAAGCAAACUAUCAUAAAUUCAUAAUCCAACAUCACUGAAAAGUGAAAACAAUCAAACAAAGUGAUGGCACAAAUAUGGAAACGAACAGCCCAGCAGUAUAUGAAAGAUUGUAGGUUGAUGAACAGGGUUCCGGCAUUAAAGUUUACCGAGUCGCAAAAAUUAUAUGAUCAACCAAAUGAGACAUGCUCGGUUCCUAAAACAAAUAUAUGAGAUGAAAAGCUGAAAAUAGGUCACCAAAAUAAAUAAAUUCAGAAGAUAGCAAACAUAUGAUACCUCCUGAAGACAUAUAAUAUCAGCAUGAUAACCAAUAAUUUCGCGCAUCAAAUUUUGUCUUCUGUAAGUCCAUGAAAGUGCCCACGUUGGGCAGUAGCUAUAUGCAUCAGAUGUAGCAUAUGCAUCAGCAAGAAUAUUAUAGGACAGCACCGUGAAUGUCCCAAAAGAAGAAGUCUGGCUGUCUAUAUCUGAGUGACCCAAAACAUCUCCAUUCACUUGGAUAAGGCGGCGUGGAGUAGGAGUUGGUGCUGGAAUCACACGUGAUGUCAUAAUUGAAGUUGGAGACCCCGCAGGUACUUUCUUUUCCGUAUCCACCGCUGCACAUUCAAAUCUUAGAACAUGCCCAAUAUCAUCAGCAGUUGGUGUAUACGUCUGCGAGCGUCCCACUUCAAACCAUGUUUCACCCGAGUUCUUAUCAGUGCCUGAGGGAUACAAGGGAACAGGUCCAUUAUUAACUCCAGGGCUCUGUCCAAGAUUUGACAUUGAGCCAGACCCAGAACUUAGAAUCCCAGAACUACCGCUGCCAAAUCUACCAAAUAGCUCCUCCUCUUCAGCUCCAUUUUCAUUUAAAGCACUACUAGCUCGCUCAUGCAAAACCCUGUGGUGCUGCCAUGCAUCAGAGAAGCACUUAGCAGAACAAUGGUAGCUCUUAGCAGCAGGUAUUUUUGACUUGAGACAACCUAAGCACUGAAUUGUUGCUUGCUCCAUCGGAUGUACACUGCAGAUAGUAACUUUUCGAUCACUCUGUAUGCGAUACCUUCGAGCGAAAAGUCAAAUCAGUAUAACCAUGUGCUACUAGAUACAGAAAAAGUUUAGAAGAACAUGAUUGAAUAUAGUAACUACAAGAAAGGACACCUAAAUUGCCAAUGUUUUAGCAUGUAUGAGAUCCAGGAAAACUUGCUAUCAGCAUCUUGGAAGUCCAUUAUUCAGAGACAUUAGACUCACAACACUUCCAUUAUAAGCAUAGUAUGAAUAAGGCAAAAUGAAGCAGGUUGCCAAGAUGUCGCAAAAAAAAAGAAGCAAAUUACAAGUUUGCUUGUCAUGAGUUGCUGCUGCUGUUGUUUUUUCUUGAUUUUAGUCCCUCAACCGGCUAACUCGUGAUCAUUCAUCUCUUGCUUUCUUUACCAGAUCAACCAUGCAACUGAUUUCUUUAGCGGACCAGGCAAUAUAUGUAAUAAGCAAAAUUCUACAGUUUAGAUCAGAGAUUCAGAGGACUAUUGCAGGCUCUCAUAUAUCAUCAUUAGGGCAUGACGACCAGACAAGGAAGUUGCUGUGUAUAUUAUUAUUCCUAGAAGAAAAACAUUUAAGUACUGUUCAAGGAGGCGACCAACUAUAGCCCAGUGCCCACCCCAUCAAUCGAUUAGUGUCUUUCAGAACACUUCAUUUCAACAAUGUGUCUAUAAAUGGCCACACUUACUAUACUCAAACCUCAAACCUUAAAAGUGAAUAAAGAUGCACAUAUCACAUGAGAUUCUAUCAAGCUAAUGACUGAAAAGCAACACAAUGAAAAUAUAAAAAACUAUAGAAUUGAAGGACCAAAACCAAUGAAACUGCAUGAGUGUUAGUGGGACCAAGCACCACCAUUUCGAAAAGUUCUAAGGUCUAAAGUCUCAGCAAUAAAUGCUAUUUAAACCUACAUGACAUUAAAAAAACGGAUGUGAUAAAACAAAUAAAUAUUCACGAACAUGAUCAAUCAUUCAGAGCGGGAUUCUAAAAUUGAUCACUGAAAUUGUUCGGCCACCCAGCUAUUAGUGAUUAUACAGCCGAGCUAGCUCAUUGCAGUGGGUGGCAUAACCAGCGGUUACAAGUUCUUUUCUCUCAUAUUUGCCUCUCCAUUUUUCAUUUUUUUAUUUCCAAAUAGAUCUACAAUGUUAUUUGAAUUUUAAAAAUAAUAGGUAGGGCACUCCUUACAUACAUGACCUCCUAGGCCAUUUAAAACAAAUAUGCAUUGUUUGGGGUUUUUUAUAUAACAUAAAGUAAGUUAACUAUGACACACUGCCAAAAUAUUUUUGCAUAAAAAACAUUAAAUUUGAUAUAGCACAGAAAGAACGUGGAUAUCCAGCAAGAGAUUAAAGAAGGCAAAGUGGGGCAGGCAGUCAGCAAAACAAAACUAGUGGAUCACGAGUUUCAAACUUUUACUAGCUUUAAGCAACUGAAAUAACUUGCCACUGAACCUAGUGAGCCAACAACUCUAACGUGUAAUAGCAAACAAGUAAUAAUUCUUUUGAAGCUCCAGAAUAAUCAAAACUGAGUCUAGAAUCAAGCUAGAAUGCCCAUUUGAGUUCACUGGUGAUGUUAGAGUGAUACUUAGUUCAAGGAGUAUAUCCAGAUACCCCAAUCAAAAAAAUCAUCUGAAGCCAUGCGAACAAACUGAUGGCACUUCUAGAAUAGUGUCUUUCCACAAAAUUAGUUAGAUAAGCCUAUGUAAUCCCAAAAUUUAUAAAAUGCUCCCGUUCCAUCCAAGAUGAACGUAAACAUUCCUGCACAACGAUUGGCAACAAUCCUCAACCCAACAGCCUUCAUCACCAUCCUAUGAUGCUAUCUAACACUCAAUAGUUCUAGCAAAACCAAAAUCAGAUGGUCUGUUUUGCUCAAUGAAUUACUUAUUAUCAUUACCAACCCGUGUGGCAGGUUGAUAUGGCAUAGACUAAAUAGUAUGAUUCAUAAACAGGCUUAAAAUAAUGCAAUACUGAGUUCUUUACCAAAUCAAGCAUUGGCAUUUCAUGUUCCCUGGGUUUCCAUUCGUUCCAAAAACAAACAACUGUCUUGCUAGAGAAAAUCAUGCUCAGAAUUCAUAUAGUUGUGCUUCAUUUAUGCAAGAAUCAAGACGAUUCAUGAGUUUAGCAAGUAGUUAAGCAUCUAGCAAACUGAUUGAUACUUAAAGCCCCCAUUUUCUUUUUUUCUUUUUUGUCAAAAUUCACUUGUAGCAACGCACAAGCGGAACUAAGCAUUCGAAAGUGUAUAUCCUAUUGAACCAAAAGUUGCAAUCACGAGCUGCUCACUCACCAUCUGUAUCGCAUGAAGUGGCCAUCAACAGGCGCGGCCUCAGGCACGUCGUCGGUGGAGAUUACACCGUUGGGCAGCCGCAGCAGCACGUACGGGGUGAUUUCGCACCCCACGAUCGGGAUCUCCGACGGCAGGUGCACCCGCACCACGCUCAGCAUCCUCCACUCCUGCUCCCCUCCCCUGCUCUCCUCUGCCCAGCCCAGGGGCGGAUCUAGAUGGUGUGCCGGGUGGGCACCGGCACACCCAAAAUUUGUGGACGCUGCGAGGACGGCGGAAGGCCAGGGCGACGUCGGGAGAGGAGGGGAGCGCCGCCGUCAAGGGGACCGGGAGAGCGAGACAGGGUUAGGGUUGGUUGCCUGAGGGUAUUUUUGGGCAUUUCGAAAAUCUAGAGUUGUGUCCAGCGCAUUUUUUUUCUAAACUAGUAUUGCGUAAGCGGGACGGAGUGGUAAUGUUUGUGCAAGACAAGAGAGAGCCGGAGAGGAUGACAUGUUUUUUUUAACGAUAAUAUUAAAAACUAGUCAAAUGUCCAUGGGACAAACUCAUAUGCGAUACUCACCGCAUUUGUAGUUAUAGAUUAAUACCUUUUCAUAGCAGUUUGCAGAGAUGGAACCAUGAAAGGCGUUGCAGACGUAUAAUUCACUCGCUAAAAAAUCCAUAUUGAGAAAAUAAUUAUGUACUUGAUAGACUCGGUCUCACGAAGUUCUGGUAAGAAGCCGGUUCGGAGGGACAAAGUUCCAGAAAGAUGGCCGCAAUGUCACGCACGACCAGGCGAAUUUGUGAUAGUUUUUUUGUUAUGAAAAAGCAAAGUAUAUGUGAUCGGCAUGCGACCUUGUGGAUUGGGGUUGAAAGUGUUGGACUGCAGUGUAUACCUUCAACCCACCACGUCUUGAUUUAAAGGCCAAAUCAACGUAGGAUUCGGACUCCUUAACUAAAUACGAUUAGGAUUCCCUAUCUAUGUCGGAUUUGGUCUCCUAUUCUGUGAUUGGCAAUUGGGAAUUUAGACAUUAAUCCAUAGCUUCUCCAACUCUUUAGUGAUUGAACGUAACGGUUGGUACAAGCUAGGCUGGGCGCGAUGGGCUGAGGCUGAGGCAAACCAACCAUGGACCUCGUACCGUUUAGAUUGAAAAAAGGACAUGUUUUUUUUUGUUUAUCGAUCAGGACGGACAGGCGCACGCACGAGGGUGAGUUGGAGGUUCAGAUCGGUUGGGCUUAGUGGAAGUUUUAAUGAAAAAGGCCUACGGACGUUCGCCAUCACCACCGAUUGUAAUAUAAUAGACAUUGUAGAUUAGUUAUGAUUUGGACCACCGGGCACCGGAACCCAAGCUGCUCAAUUUUGGCAAAAUUUGCAGAAAGCAAACUCAAACCCGAUGGCUCCUAUGUAGAUGGGAGUGAACUCAGAGUAUUCUCAUCGUGUUGCUACAAAGCUUUUCUUUGAUGAUGUUCCCUCCGUUGUGUUUCCCUUGCGUGCUCAAGGACACAAUGUUGUGAUUGAGGAAAUUGUUGAUGACCCUAGCUCUGCCAUCUUCCGUCCGUAAGUGAGGGCACAAGCAGCGCGUUGCUACUCCAGAAGUAACUUCAGGUCUGUGCCAUAGUUCAUGCUCUACCAUGUUUAGAGGAUUCAAGUCCUAGCUUGUUUCUGAUGUGCAGAAGAAACAGUCCAAGUGUCGAUGUUAUACAUUGUCAGAAUAUGAUUCGGGAUAGCACACGACCAAGGAUUACUACUACUCUUGAUGGCAACAGUCUACGUGUUUAUCAUUUGUUGGAACUCCAAGCACAAAGUGAUGUAACAAAGGGUGUUUUCCCCCACAAGUGUUUUACCCCCAACAAGCACCACAAUGGUUGUCAAUCACAAUGAUCACUAUACAGAAUCACUUAUUUCUGACGCGUUAAAAAACUUCUAGUCUGACGCAAAUGGGACGUGUCACUAAUCAAGUGUCAAAGAUGACUCGGGAACUUCUGACGUGUCAACAAGCGUCAGAAGUAGGAAACCCUAAUGACGCUUCUUGUCGAUUGUUAUUAGAGACAAGUAUCCUCAUGUCGGGUGAAGGCCAUGUUUGUUUGAGCUUCUGCUUCAGCUUUUGGUGGUUCUAGCUCUCUAAAAAGCACUGCUUCCGUUUACACAUGAAGCUGAGAAGCACGUCGUGAGGUGCUUCCCUCCAGAAGCUGCAGGAAGCACCUCCAGACGUGCUUCUCAGCUUCAUGUGUAAACGGGAGAAAUGCUUUUUAGAGGGCUAGAAGCAGCAAAAGCUGAAGAAAAAGAAAAAGCCCAAACAAACAGGGCCGAAGAUGAGUAAGAAGAUAGAGGGGCCUCACGGUGAUAUCUACUCGUGUAAGAUAGAGAACUCGGCGAAAGACAAGGGUUUAUACCGGUUUGACUUGCUCCUUUUCGUGAAAGCAAGCCUACGUCAUGUUGGUAAUCUAAUAUUUGUGUAUGAUAUUACAAGGUGUGUUCUGCCCAUCGAGGGCGCCUAGCCCGCUUUAUAUAGUCAAACAACUAGGGUUUCGGGUAGAGCCGGGUACAACUUUUACAUGGACUGUACCUUCCUAAACUAGUUAGGAUUCUUCCUUUACAAGAUAUCUACAACUAGUAUUUCCUAUUACCUGAACUAGGCUUCCUUCUUCAAUACGACAACUUCCUUGACCGAGUGAUAGGGGAUGUCUGGCUUGUGCGCUGAGUCGACUUUCUCUGUUCAGUCGUCUCUCAGCUACCCGGCUAGAAUAUCCUCGUCAUUAGCCCCGAGUACAAUGUGGAUAGGGGGGAGCUGAAUAAUGCCAUCGUCGUCAAUCUCGAAUCUUUCUCGUUUCAUGUGCUUUUCUUGAGUUGCUUCUUCUUGAUUUUAUUCCGACCUCAAAUCCACAAUGUACUUCUCUAUGACAGCUUGAGGUUCGAGCUCAUGGCUUCUUAUGCAUAAAGUUCAGCUAUAAGAGCAAACCAGCUUCUAUGUGGCAUGUGUUAGCAUUGCAGCGAUAUUAGCUCCUGUUUUGAUUUGUGUUUUUUCCUUAGCUGUAGCGUUGCUUUGAAUUAAUUAGCAACUACGUCGUGCAUGUAAAAAAAAGUGAGUUCCAACAAAUCUCUGACGUGCGCUAGAACAAGAGGUCAGUGAGCAUCAAAAGUAUACUGACGUGGCGACACAAGGAAGAGCUAGGAAAUUCCUCGUGAACAAAGUUGACGCUUCCACAAAGGAAAGAGUCACAUCAGCUAGAAUCUCCUUCGACGCUUACGAAGUAAGGAAGCGUCAGUAGAAAUGAAGAGUCAGAAGUGUGGAAGUUCUCCUACGCUUCUCCGAGGUAGGUGUCAGAAAUAUCUUAUUGACGCUGCCUCGUGGAUGCUACCUAUGACAGUCCUUAUAAGGAGCCGCAGAGAUAAGGAUUUGCGCUGACGCUUUUUAGUUUUGUGUCAGUGGGGAGCUUGCAAGAGUAAAGUCUAUAGUAGUGAGUGUAAGGCUAAACUUUAAAUAAACAAAUAAUAACUUUAAGUAAACUAAUGCAAAACAAUAAUUUAAACUAACUAGAAGAUGCAAUAACUAUAUAAUAAAUACUACUACUUAUUAUGCAACUAAAUAACCAAGAGAGAAUGUUUAAAUGGCUUUUUACAAGAUAUCUAAAAAAAAGCAAUUAAAUAAAUGCAAAAUAAUUGUAACAGAGGUGUUUCUUAUGAUAUUAAAGAGGACCAGGAUACUCUUUGCGGCAUGAAUAUAGCACAUAGGACAAGUUCAUUUACUUUGCAAUGUUUUUAUGAAGUGAAUGAUAAGCAUUCAUAUGGACAUCACGUCCUAAUAUUGAGAAUAUGCAAAAUAUCUCACUAAUGCUCCCUUGGUAAGUGACUCAUCAAACUAGAUUAUUGCUUUAGGUACUUUGACAUGAUGUUGAACUUUAAUGCAACUUUGAGCAAGCAAGACCACCAUUGUUGUCAUUUGGUAGCAUAAUGCGUAUUCAUUUAUCCCUAGCGGGUCAAAUCACUGAAAGGUGAAAAUCAUAGUGGUUCCCAAAAUUUUUGUCACUAUCCGGUUGCCACUACCAAUUGCUCUAUCUAAUACACACAUCCCCACACAUGCACAUGUAAACUAGUAUGAUUAGUACAAGUAAGCAAGAAGGGAUAGACAUAUGCAUCUAUCAAUACAUCAAAACACAAUCCAAACAUUGCAAACUCAUGACUCAUCUCAUAACAAAAGGUUCACCAAUAAAAAAUAUAACGAUGAUCAUAAUCAUGAUAGGAAACUCGUAUGAUUCUAUUACAACCCAUAGCCCAGCGAGGACUACUCCCUCAUCAUAUUGGUGAUGAUAGAGAAUAUGUUCAAGGAGAAGGAGAGGCGACCGAUGGUAUUUUCCCUUCUAAUCUUGGAUCAAUCUGAUGUUGUUUUUUUUCUUUCCGAGUCGUUGUGCUAUGCAAGCGCAAAGCACGGGGUAUUAAUAAAUGGUUUUAGGUCAAGACGAAUCUUCGGGUGAAAGAAUGCACUUGCGGGCGGCCACUCGGGAUAAAAAACAACCAUGGUGAAUUAUGAUAAUCUAGUUUUUUCGACUACUACCUCUGAUCCUAAAUUGUUGUCGUGGUUUUACUUCAAAUUUGUACUAAAACCACGACAAGAAUUAAGGAUCCGAGAGGUAGUUUUUACCUAUUUUUCAAUUCGGCUUACCUAUUAUUUUCUAAUUUUCUUUGUAUGUUUUGACAAAUUCAGCACACUUCAGCAACCCAAACUGAACAUUAGUCCCGUACAGGAUUCCAGAGUGCGUUGUACGCAUGUGUUAGUAUAUUCCUAAGCAAGCAAGAAAAAAAUAAAAAGAAGCAAAUAGUAGCAACUAUCGGUUGAUCCCGGCCCUGGGCCAGGACAAGAAGGGCGACAGCCCGGGCCCGCCCAAUCCAGGGGACCAGAUCAUAUGUGUAUACGCUAGUAGAGAUACAUGUCCAAAUAUUGAUUAGCAUAAAAGAAAGAGGAAAAAAGCUAGAGGCCCAGCAGAUUGCUCCGCUCCUGGCCAACCCAGGACGUAUCAACGUGCUCGAAAAUUCCCCUUGGCACCCGGUAUCCAGGCCUAUGUGUAUCUCAGCCGACCAAUUUUCCAUCCUACGGCUCCAUCCUGCAGCUCCUGUCGUCCGGCCCGUUUAAGUAUACAAUUUGCUAUUCUCCCGUACAGGCGGUAUUUGCACCGGUUGGCCUGACACAUCCUUUUUUAUAUUGCGUUUCCCAGGCUGGCUGGCCCAAGUCCCACCUCGCGCAUUGCUGGGUGAGCACAAGUCCUUUUCUCCCGCUGCAUACCGUGGCACAGGUCUGCCCUUGAGACAUCGCAUUAAAUUUCCAUCAGUCCCAUUUUUUUGGCCCAAGAUUUCUGGGCAGGCACAGGUCCACGCCAUUGGGGGGGCGGUGGCGCGGCUGGCGAGGCCGACGUCGCGGCUGUCGAGGGUGCCUGCCACGGGCGAUGAGUCACCGAGUCAGGCUUCGGUGCCCAGAGCUGAAAAGCGUGCCGCGGUAGACGAUGUUGGGCGCCUUAAUGCCGUGCUCGGACACGAUUCGGUCGGGGACGAAGCUGUCAGUUCCCGCGCAUAGCUCAUCAAGGCUGUACUCUGUGAUCAUCGGCACAGCACUGUCGUCUUCCCCAGUUUCCCCAUUCUCUAUUUCUCUACACAGGGAAAGCAAACAGCAAGGGGAAGAGCAUCCAUCCUGUAAAGCAACGAGCUGCCGGCGAUGGCCUUCUCCACGACCGCGGAGCAACGCAGCGCCGUCCCCGUGCCUUCGCUGGAUGCCCGCUCGCAGCUCCGUGAUGGACCGCUUCCGCACGAGCACCGCCCGCCCGAACGGGUCGUGCGCGUCGGCAAGCGCGAGGGCCGAGGGACACGUUGAGGUGGCCAAAGGCCGGGUCGCUAGGGAAGAACUCCGAGCUGCAGACCGGGGGCGCGGGGCAGGGACGGAUGUUCGGGCAUCGGCCGGACCUCCUCCGUUGGCAGCUUCCGCAGGCGAGGAAAACUUGAGGGGCAACGGCAGAUAUUUGGGAUUUGACGUGGGUAUUGGUGCUCCGAUCUUUCCAUCAGAUUGAUAACUCUCGAUUUGGGUUGAAGAUGACGUUUGACGAUCCGACUACGGUCUAAAAGACAGCGCCUUAGUAAUCAAUACACCAACUACAGAGAGUUAUUGAUCACGCGGGGCACGAUCAACCUGACCACGAAGGUUUUUAUUCCUGCAAGCAAUCGAAAAACAAGCAAGACCAAGAUAAAUAGUGGAUGCAAUCUGAAAUUGCGAAUAUACUAUAUCAAACCAAUGUCUCAAUGAGACGAUAAGUUGGGAUUUCGAAAGUGGUAAAGCAGGUGGUCUAGCCGACAUAGACGAUUACACGAAGUUGUAGCGAUGGCUAACUUUUAACUAAACAAAACCCAAGUCUCCAUAGGGAGGCUAGUGGGGUAUAUAAAAGAGGAGGGAGAGAGAUUUUCGCCCACCUUGAGUAAGGAGGCCGAAAUCCAAAUCUAUUUCUAACUUUUCUAACAAACUAUAACUCUUUAGGAAACAAAAAAACAGAUCCGUCAUCUUGUUUUGUCUGCCACGGCCAGCACGCGUCGAAUCUCCUUGUGGGGUCAAAUCUGUUGGAAAGGUCUUGUAAUUACCUUUCCAACAAGUACUUGUUUGCUUGAUUUGGACUCUGAAUGCGGUCUGGGUGAUUAAAACAAAUUCGGAUCUCCUGACAGCUCGGACCCGAAUCGGAUUCAACUUUAAUUCGUGAUAUCUUUCACUAGCAAGCUCCGAACCAUGUGCCGUUCGAUUUGUUGGAAAGUAGACUUGAUAGGCUUCACCUUGCAUCUCCCGUUGCAUGCUAUCGCACCUCAUCUUCACUUUGGAUUUGAAAAGCUCGACCAAAUAUCUACAUAAUAAAAUGAUACAAGAUAGUAGCUCUGCCUCUUCAUGCAUAUGGCAUUGAAAACAAAUAGUACUUGACUUCACCUGAUUAUAAAAUGUUAUCGAAUACUCUAGAACUGAGGGUGCCAAAGGUUGUAUCUAUGGUUAGCAUGUCCAUAUCAUCUUCCCUUUCUUGAAACAAAAGCCGUCCUCGGUGUCGUUUGUGCUGAAAAGAGACUGACAAAACAGACAAAGUGUGUGCAUGGGUAUAUGUACAUGUCAUCCAUCUUUAUACAUCUCCUUUCUUGCACAAUUAAUGUUUUAUAAAAAAAUCUCAUGAGAUAAGUAGUCAAACAAUCAUCAUGAAUUACAUUCCAGCAAGAAGAUUGACAAUAUGUUUUGCAUAUAUAAGUGAAACAAUAUCUUAUACUAGUAAAAAGCCCGUGCUUUGCUACGGAAGAAGACUUUCUUUUAAAAACAUGCUAUAGGUUAAUUUUCAAAUAGUCGGCUGACUUGGGCUUGCGGGGCUGCGGCUUGGGCUGAAAGGUGGAGAUGGGGUUGGUGGGCCUGAAGGGGGCUCGGGGUUGCUGGGUUGCUGUGGGAUCGAGGCAGCGGGGAGGUUGAAGGCACGGGAGCAAGGGGAGGCAGUGCCGGCGAGGUGGACGAUGGGAGCAGCACGCGAGGGUGCUGGGCUGCCACGGUGACUGGAGCUUGGCGACAACGUUGGCGGAUUGCAGCAGCGAGGGAGAGGAGAAGAGGGCGCAACGAGUAAUGAAGGCAGGAGCGCCAGAGAGAGGAGGCGGCUAGACAGAGGAGAUCGGGAGGGAGAAAGGAGCUCGAGGGGAAAGAUGAAGGAGCAUAGGGGAUAUCGGGGAGGACCGGCUGCCUGGUUGGGUGGACGGGCAGGACAAGAAAAGGGGACGAGAGCGAGAGGGAUAGGGUUCGAGGAAGCCCGCAGAGGUUAGGGCUCGGGGGUCAGACGGAUGUUUUUCGGGACUGGGGAUAUGCAGUGGCAUAUUGAGCGUAAUUUUAAUGGAGUGACGUACCGCGACACCUGUACCAUCACCACCAACUCCAAUUUAAUAUAUUUGUAUAGAUUUAGUUUGCACCGCUCACCAUUAUACCAUCCCAACACUGGAGAAUAAUAAUUAAUGGUACCCAAAUUAGUUACUACAAGAUGCUGAAAUUUAGAGCAAGUCAAAGCAGUAAUAUUCAAACAAUCGUGUAAACAACUAUUUGGCAAAUAAUCAACACCAAUAUUGGAGAUCAUAUCAAAAUAGUUAAGCAUAUGCAAGAAUUUAUUUUCUCCCAAGAUAGUAAAAUUAUCACAAGUAAUACAAAUUUCAUGUACCAAAAAGUUAUUAUUCACAUCAUGUUCUCCAAUUAGUUGAAUAGUGGAUCCAUGAACAUUAGGAAAAGAUUUUGAAAUUGUUAACUUGGACACUUUUUCCAUUGCAUAUGAUAAAUACAUAUGUGUAUCAAGUGUAAUAUAACACAAAGAAUUAAUAGGUGGAUCCUUAUGAAUCACUCCAUGUCUAAUUAACUCGACACAACCUAAGCCAAAUUUAUCUAUCUCACAUGUUUCUCCCAAAGCAUUAGUUCUGUCCUGACAUGAUUCAUGCUCAUCAAUAUCAAAAUUAAUAUGUGCACUAAAAUCAUUAGAAAAAUUAAUUUCAGCACUAGGUGUACUCAAAUCAGCAUGUAAAUCAACAAUUUCACAUGGUGCAGAAAAUUCACCGAGUAUCUCAUUUAUUUCAUCACAUGUCAUAUUUAGUUCAGGAACACAAUCAUCUUUACCAUUACCUUGUGGUCUCGACUCAUUUGUAGUAGACCUUCACUGUAAUUUCCUCUCAACUUCACGAGCAAGAUUAAGCAAACACAAAAAAGAGUCGUAUUUUCCAUAUUCAAUUAUGUAAGAAAUAUCAAAGUUAAGCCCACAAUAAAACCUAUCCAUUUUUGUUUGUUCGGUUUCAUCUAAACCAGAUCGCAAGGUUAGAAUUUGGAACUCCUGAUAGUAAUCAUCAACAGUUUUAUCAUCUUGUUUCAAACGUCGUACUUUUGCACGCAAGUUACAAGCAUAACUAAAAGGGACAUAUUUUUCUCUCAUGAUUUUCUUCAUAUCAACCCAAGUGUGAGGAAUUUUCUUUUCUCUAACUAUCUCACUCCACCAAGAUAAAGCAGCAAAAGUAAAUUUACUACUAGCAAUUUGGAACUUGCGACUAUCAAGUACAUGGAAGCAUGUGAAUUGUUCAGUUAAAGCUAUCUCCCAAUCUAUAUACGUUUCAGCAUCAUUUUCCCCCUUAAAGAAAGGUACACACAAUUUAAUUGUAUUGGAAGGAUUGUUUCGUACCGUUGCCGUCGCAUUGUCAACAAAAGACGUGGAGGAUGGCCAUGGUGAAAAGCACUCAUCGCGGUCACGGGAUUGCAUCGGUCUAGUUCCCAUGCUUCGUGUAAGUCCUGUCAUUGUUAGUAGAAAACAAGAAACAAAUCACAGUAAUAUGUUCCUAUCAACUAAUAGGAUGUGGCUACAAGUCGUUCAACUCUCAAGCUAAAAAUCAAGUUCUUACAAGUUCUUACCAUGCAACAAGAAGGUGAUGGCCAGCGGCUUGACCAAGCCCCUCCGAGGAUUAAAUGUAUCAAUGCCUCGGUAACAAACCAACCUAGGUGUAGAAUCUGUGUAGCUUGGAAGCUUUUGUGAGUAGCAAGGAAUAGCAAAUAAUCAAACAGCAAUGCAAAGUUGAAAAUAUGCUAAAUAAUGCUAGUCCUAACUGCUGGAGUCGAUAAUAACGAAUUACAGAAAUAAUCUAAGCCUAGAUAGUGAAGAAGGUAGGAUAGAAAGAUCAAAAUAAAGGUAAAACAACUAAAUCUCUAGGAUUUUUCUUUUCUUUUAUUUAUUUAUUUAUUUAUUUUUGUGGCCUUCUGUUUGGCUUCUUAUUCUUUUCUUCUUUUUUUAUUUUUUUAAUCCCAGAAACUCAUGCAAAAGAAGUAAAGACCGGAAAACUGCACGUCGGUCUGUCGAAGAACAGCAAAGGGUGCUGUAAGAAAAUGUCAGAAAAAUAUGGAAAAAUAUAGGUUAGGAGCGUAUCGAAACAAGCUUUCCAGGAAGUGCAAGAUCACUCAAAUCGGAGGCCGGACGAUGGAGAUAACGUAAAAACACCGGCCUGCAGCGAUGCCGGAAACCGGAUGCAGAAACUUGGAAGCUCUGAAAGUCCACCUUACAAACCGAGUUUGAGGGUCAAGGAGUCAGUGCGAUGCCCUGGAUAUUUUCUCGUGCGCUUCGUCAUGAGCUUUCCAGAAAGUACUAGAAGGUCCAAAUCUGAGUUGGUGACCGUUUUACUGAACACGGGUCAAACCCACUCGAAACUAUAAUUCUCCUGAACGUGGAUCUGAAACUGAUUCUUUUUCUCUCUCUUUUUUUUCAUUUUUUUUCCUUUUUUUUCCUUCCUUUUCUUUGCUUUUUUUUCACAACUUUCCGAACAACUUGAUCUCUAAACAAAAUUCGAUCUAUUAUGAAACACUUUCCAAAAGCACUCUCGAUUGGACUCGGACUCGAACCCGGAGAAGGACUCGGUGUAUGACUCGAUGGAAGAUUAUGGCGUGGCGGUGGUGUGGCAGGGAGUUUGGCGGCAGAAAAUUGAGGAAGGAAACCUGCGUCACACGAAGAACAAGAAAACCAAAAGCAAGUUCGAUCUAGUAGAAAAAGUCUGAAAAACGAUCCAAUCUAAUCCAGCAACUCGACACGAUUAAUGCAGCAAAGGUUCAACAAUGCAAAUACUAAUGUGAAAAUUGCAAGGCUCAGAUUGGUUUUUGGGACGAAGGUAAGUAAUCUCUACUUUUUUAUUGUCUUUUUCUGGACUAUAGGUAAAACAUAUCUAAACUAUGGAAAAAUACCACGUGAUGUGGGUCGGGGUGGCCCGAUAUUUCGAUGAGAUUGAUAACUCUCGAUUUGGGUAGGAGGUGACGUUGACGAUCCGACUACGGCCUUGAAAGCAGCGUCUUAGCAAUCGAUACACCAACUCCAGAGGGUUAUUGAUCACGCGGGGGCACGAUCAACCUGACCACAAAGGUCUUUGUUCCUACAAGCAAACGAAGAACAAGCAAGAACAAGAUAAAUAUCGGAUGCAAUCUGAAAUUGCGAAUAUACUAUAUCAAACCAAUGUCUCAACGAGACGAUAAGUUGGGGUUCCGAAAGCGGUAAAGCAGGUGGUCUAGCCGACACACGCGAUUACACGAAGUUGUAGCGAUGGCUAACUUUUAACUAAACAAACCCAAGUCUUCAUAGGGGGGCUAGUGGGGUAUAUAAAGGAGGAGGGAGAGAGAUUUUCGUCCACCUUGAGUAAGGAGGCCGAAAUCCAACUGUAUCUCUAACUUUCCUAACAAACUACAACUCUUUAGGAAACGGAAAAACAGAUCCGUCAGCUUGUUUUGUCCGCCACGGCCAGCACGCGUCGAAUCUCUUGUGGGGCCAGAUCUUUUGGAAAGUUCUUGUAAUUACCUUUCCAACAAGUACUUGUUUGCUUGAUUUGAACUCCGAAUGCGGCCUGGGUUAUUAAAACAAAUUCGGGUCUCCUGACAGCUCGGACCCGAAUCGGAUUCAACUUUAAUUCGUGAUAUCUUUCUCUAGCAAGGUCCGAAUCAUGUGCUGUUCGAUUUGUUGGAAAGUAGACUUGAUAGGCUUCACCUUGCAUCUCCCGUUGCAUGCUAUCGCACCUCAUCUUCACUUUGGACUGGAAAAGCUCGAUCAAAUACUUACAUAAUAAAAUGAUACAAGAUAGUAGCUUUGCCUCUUCAUGCAUAUGACAUUGGAAACAAAUAGUACUUGACUUCACCUGAUUAUAAAUAUUAUCGAAUACUCUAGAAUUGAGGGUGCCAAAGGUCGUAUCCAUGGUUAGCAUGUACAUACCAGGCUUGCAGUACGAUGCCCGGAGCUGGGGGAGAUGGCGCUGCACAUGUCGUAUCUGAAGGAGGCGGCGAUUGAGGUGAAGAAGACGGUGGGGGAUGAGACGGUGACAGAUGGGGAAGAGAGGUAGAUGAGGGCGAUGAAGGGAAUAUGCCCUAGAGGCAAUAAUAUUGUAUUAUUAUAUUCCCAAGUUUGUAAUUGAUGUUUAUAUUUCUAUGCUAUAAUUGCAAUGGUUCUUGAACGUGAGAUUCGGAGGAAAACUCAUUUGCAUGUGUGGAAACAUAAACCCUAAUUUAAAGGUCCCUAGUCACGCCUCUUUGACUAGCUUAUAUAUAAUUGAUGAUUCUGUUUUCCUGAUCAUGAGCAUACGAUGCUGGUUAUAUAUGAGAGCACAUUGUUGGUUGAACAAUGGUGUUGGAUUGACCCAACUAAUGAUAUACCGAGAGAUCACAUCGAUUACUUGUUAUCGGUAUUAUUGUUAUUGUUGUAAUUAUCAUUAUCCUUAGACCAUGAAAAUAUCGUAUGAUAUUUAUAUCGGAAGGAUAAUUUGGGUGUUACUUAUUGUUUCCCGUAAUAGGGUUAUCAUGACGGUGAUUUCCGGGUACUCCGGAAAGUACGAAUUGAUUCGAUAGUUCAAGAUUGGGAUUUGCUCCUCUAUCGGUGGAGAGAUACACUAGGGCCCACUCGGUACGAAGAUAUCUAUCACCGUCUGGCCAGACACAAGAAUGAUAUGAUCAUUGAGAUAUCGGAGUACGGAAUGAGUUAAAAGUACAAAACCGGUAACGGGGAUAGCUAGGUACAAGUGGAACAAGGGUUGGUUCACGGGCGUACCGGAAGUCUCACCCCGGGUUUUGUAAACGUAUCGUGAAGCAAAGGGAAAUGGUUUUUAGUAACAAAUGGUUCACUUGAAAGUCUUCGUGUAUGUGUAGUAAUUAUUGAGAGUGUCCAGGCUCUUUAAAUAAUUAUUGACUGGGUCAUAGCUACACAUUUCCCAACCUAGGCGGUCAGACGCUUAACGACGAAUGGUUAUUUGAAGGUCUAAAGUUUGGAAUUUGGUCAAGAGUUGAAUACUGAAGUUGUUCAGAAUGACGAGACAUAUUUUAUGGAGGUCCUAAAUGUGAUUUAGGAGUUACAGAAAUAUUCGGAGUAAUCAUGAGUGCUUCCGGAAGGUUUUAGAAGCCUCUAGAAGGAUCCGAUGGAAAUUCCGGAAGGUCAAAUGGCAAAAGGUCAAAAGUCAAAGGUGGGUCAAACCCUGGUCAAAGGUUGACCAUGGGGGCCAGCCAUCUUGGUUUGGAGAAGGGGUUAUAAGACUCCUAUUAGGAGUUCAUAUCUAUUCCUAUUAGAGGUAGGCGUGCUACUCUUUUUGGAGGAGGACUCUUUUCGUCCUUUGGCCGGACGCCCUCCUAUAUAAGGAGGGGAGGGGUGG